rnacentral:rRNA from 1 species
AAUGGGGGAAACCCUGAUCCAGCCAUACCGCGUGAGUGAAGAAGGCCUUCGGGUUGUAAAGCUCUUUCAGCCGGAAAGAAAUCGUGCAGGCUAAUACCCUGUAUGGAUGACGGUACCGGAAGAAGAAGCACCGGCUAACUACGUGCCAGCAGCCGCGGUAAUACGUAGGGUGCGAGCGUUAAUCGGAAUUACUGGGCGUAAAGCGUGCGCAGGCGGUUUUGUAAGACAGAGGUGAAAUCCCCGGGCUCAACCUGGGAACUGCCUUUGUGACUGCAAGGCUGGAGUACGGCAGAGGGGGAUGGAAUUCCGCGUGUAGCAGUGAAAUGCGUAGAUAUGCGGAGGAACACCGAUGGCGAAGGCAAUCCCCUGGGCCUGUACUGACGCUCAUGCACGAAAGCGUGGGGAGCAAA